GCUAUAUCACCUCAGCUCAUAAGGUUCAACCGGCUAUUAUCUUUAUUGAUGACCGAGUAAAAAAAAAUAUUAUCUUUAUUGAUGAGAUUGAUAACUUUUUGGGGUAGCAUCGUGCAACUAAUUGCGAAGCUUUGACAAACAUGAAGACAGAGUUCCAUGGCUCAGAGAAAAUGGCUUAACAGCUAACAAAAGUCUGAUGCUUAUGAAUUAUAGCUUAUGGUUUCUGCUACAUAAGCAAUCAUAUGCAUAAGAUACAAUUCAUCUCCUGAAAAUCUGAAGUUGUACAUCACUUAGGAAGGAGUCUGGUCACCACUCUCAUCCAAGGUAUUUCUGGAUAUUAUGGAAAGAGUGAAUCUUCUGAUGCCCUCAAAAGGUGCUUUCCAGUUCUGGAUUGGGCAGGUCAUUUCAUCUUUUUGCUGUGUUUUGAUACAGUUUGUAUUUAUAAGGUUGGUCUGCACUGAUUGCAAGAAAGCAUGCGGACAAAGUCAUCAAAACAUGAUGACACACGCCCACAGCCAAGAAGCCCAUCCCGUCGACGUCGGAUCUUCGCCCGAACAAAUCCAAGGAAAGAAGUU